AGAAUCUCUAGGAACUCUACCUCAACAUUCUUUUUUUCAAAGCCCCUCCCCCCCCAAAAUUCUUGGGUGUCGGACAAGGAACAUAUUCAAGAAACCUCAUCAACUUAGAGAAUCACUCCCAAAAGCUGGAUGUGAGGGGCACCGCUGCCAGGGGAACCCUGUCUGCAUUCUCUGCUUUUCCUCCUCAAGACUGAGUCUGCCCAAGACUGGUCUGUCCUCAAGGAGAAAUGCUCACCCCUUAGACAAACUAAAAGUUCACUGGAGCCCCCAAAUGAGCCCAGAGGCACCAGUCAAGAAGAAAUAAAGAAGGAAGAGGUCCUGAAUAAAGUAAGACAAUGCUA